CCUACGGGUGUCCGCAGUAGGGAAUAUUGCUCAAUGGGGGAAACCCUGAAGCAGCAACGCCGCGUGGAGGAUGAUGGUUUUCGGAUUGUAAACUCCUUUUGUUCGAGAAGAUAAUGACGGUAUCUAACGCAUAAGCACCGGCUAACUCCGUGCCAGCCGCCUCGGUAAUACGGAGGGUGCAAGCGUUACUCGGAAUCACUGGGCUUAAAGAGCGCGUAGGCGGGAUAGAAAGUCAGAGGUGAAAUCCUAUGGCUAAACCAUAGAACUGCAAUUGAAACUGUUAUGCUAGAGUUUGGGAGAGGUAGGAGGAAUGCUUGGUGUAGGGGUAAAAUGCAUAGAGAUCA
rnacentral:rRNA from 1 species